UACGUAGGGCGCAAGCGUUGUCCGGAAUUAUUGGGCGUAAAGAGCUCGUAGGCGGUUUGUCGCGUCUGCCGUGAAAGUCCGGGGCUCAACUCCGGAUCUGCGGUGGGUACGGGCAGACUAGAGUGAUGUAGGGGAGACUGGAAUUCCUGGUGUAGCGGUGAAAUGCGCAGAUAUCAGGAGGAACACCGAUGGCGAAGGCAGGUCUCUGGGCAUUAACUGACGCUGAGGAGCGAAAGCAUGGGGAGCGAUCCGG
rnacentral:rRNA from 1 species